ACGCACCUUUCGGGGUGAGUGGCGGACGGGUGAGUAACGCGUGAGAAUCUGCCUUUUGGUCGGGGACAACCACUGGAAACGGUGGCUAAUACCGGAUGUGCCUAAGGGUAAAAGAUUUAUUGCCAAAAGAGGAGCUCGCGUCUGAUUAGCUAGUUGGUAGGGUAAAAGCCUACCAAGGCAUCGAUCAGUAGCUGGUCUGAGAGGAUGACCAGCCACACUGGGACUGAGACACGGCCCAGACUCCUACGGGAGGCAGCAGUGGGGAAUUUUCCGCAAUGGGCGAAAGCCUGACGGAGCAAGACCGCGUGAGGGAAGAAGGCUCUUGGGUCGUAAACCUCUUUUGUCAGGGAAGAAAAAAAUGACGGUACCUGACGAAUCAGCCUCGGCUAACUCCGUGCCAGCAGCCGCGGUAAUACGGAGGAGGCAAGCGUUAUCCGGAAUUAUUGGGCGUAAAGCGUCCGCAGGUGGCUUCUCAAGUCUGCCGUCAAAGACCGGGGCUUAACCCUGGGAAGGCGGUGGAAACUGAUAGGCUAGAGUGCGGCAGGGGCAGAGGGAAUUCCCGGUGUAGCGGUGAAAUGCGUAGAGAUCGGGAAGAACAUCGGUGGCGAAAGCGCUCUGCUGGGCCGCAACUGACACUCAGGGACGAAAGCUAGGGGAGCGAAUGGGAUUAGAUACCCCAGUAGUCCUAGCCGUA
rnacentral:rRNA from 1 species